rnacentral:rRNA from 1 species
GUCCACGCCGUAAACGAUGAGCACUAGCUGUCGGGGGUAUCGACCCCCUCGGUAGCGCAGCUAACGCGAUAAGUGCUCCGCCUGGGGACUACGGCCGCAAGGCUAAAACUCAAAGGAAUUGACGGGGGCCCGCACAAGCAGCGGAGCGUGCGGUUUAAUUCGAAGCUACGCGAAGAACCUUACCAGGGCUUGACAUGGGCAGGACCGCCGGUGAAAGCCGGUUUCCCUUCGGGGCCUGUUCACAGAUGCUGCAUGGCUGUCGU